GGGCCCGCACAAGCGGUGGAGCAUGUGGUUUAAUUCGAUGAUACGCGAGGAACCUUACCAGGGCUUAAAUGUAAGUUGCAUAAAUCAGAGAUGAUUUUUUCUUCGGACCACUUACAAGGUGCUGCAUGGUUGUCGUCAGCUCGUGCCGUGAGGUGUCAGGUUAAGUCCUAUAACGAGCGCAACCCCUGUCGUUAGUUGCCAGCGAGUCAUGUCGGGAACUCUAACGAGACUGCCGGUGCAAACCGAGAGGAAGGUGGGGAUGACGUCAAAUCAUCACGGCCCUUACGUCCUGGGCCACACACGUGCUACAAUGGCCGGUACAGAGAGCAGCCACUACGCGAGUAGGAGCGAAUCUAUAAAACCGGUCUCAGUUCGGAUCGCAGUCUGCAACUCGACUGCGUGAAGCUGGAAUCGCUAGUAAUCGGAUAUC
rnacentral:rRNA from 1 species